AGACCAUGGUCAGGGGAUGCAUAUUGUUAGUCUACUUUGGCGCAGAUGAAUGCCAGGAAUUCUUUUAAAGGGUUGUUUGAUUCCUCUGGAAUUCUUGGGCUGGGUGAUCCAUUUGUAUCUUGUCUCUGAGGGUUUAGUGUACACUUAAGGAGGAAUAUAAUGAUGGAUUACACAAUCCCUGAUUCAAUGAUGAAGUUAGUUUCUUUGUUAGGAAGAUAGUGCGCCUCAUGUUUGAGAUGAGCUCCUUGUAUC
rnacentral:misc_RNA from 1 species